rnacentral:tRNA from 1 species
AGGAUUAUAGUUUAUAAUUAAAACUUUUGAUUUGCAAUCAAAAAAUAUUGAAUAAUCAAUUUAUCUUA